rnacentral:lncRNA from 1 species
CCUUGGCCAAUUUCAAUUUGGCUUCUCCCUCUCCCUUUGACCAUUCAACCUUAUCUCUUCUCUCUCUUAUCUCUUCUUCUCUCUCCUCUCUCUUCUCCCCCACUCUCCCUCGUAGCCGACUUCUUCUUCUUCCUUCUUCUUUGUGCGAACCAGAAGCCGAAGAAGACAGAAGCAGCAGCCACCGUCGUUUGAAGACAGGAGCAGCUCCGCCGCUCACCGCCCGCCUCCGCUUCUCCCUCGCCCCCUUAGCUGUCGUCGCCACCCCCCUUUCUCCUCUUCUCUGUUUCGUGCGAUGACCAGCAGAGACAAAAGCGGAAGCAGCCACGGACGUCGCUUGAAGACCAGCCGCCGUUGCCGCCGCACCGGAGCCGGACCGCCCGCGCGUCCGCUGCUCGCCGCCGUCCCGCCGUCCGCGCGCGUCCCCACGUCCAUCGCCUGCUGCCGUCCUUGCCGUGCGACCCAGUUUCUGUUCGGCCUCUGUUCAGCCACCGUGAGUGGCUGAGCAGGUCGCCGGAGCCGCCGUGCAGCCUCGUCGGACCGCCGCCUAUCUUCCCGACCUCUUGCCGCCCCCAACCCUCUCUCUUUCUCUCUGUUUUGUAGCGGAUCCAGCAAACCCACAGAAUGGGUUUCCAGCGGCUUUAGGCCCGCUUUUGGGCCGUUUCCGGGCCCCGAACCCGAGGCCCGCUUUGGAGUUUGUCGUUCCUCGCGUCGCCGCCGUCGGAUUGAUCCGAUUUGCGCGCGAUUUGGUGAGUAAUCUCACUAAUCCUGGAUUAGUUGGCUAAUUAUGCUUAAGGUUGGUUUAGUUUUAAUUAAUUAUGUUUAGGUUGUUAGAUUUAAAUAAAUUAGCAUUUAUUAGUCCAUUGUGAUGUGAUUUAGAUAAAUUGAUUGUGCAAUUAGCAAGUAGACGUGGUCUACUAAUUAUUGGAAGUGCCUCAGGAUUUUUCCCGACCCUUAGUGGGCUCUAAUUAGGCUUUUCGGGCCUAAGUGGAUAUUUUUAGUAUUUAAAUAUUAAUUUUCGGAAUUAAAUUAAAUAAUUAUUUAUUUUAUGAAAAUUCAACUGAGAUGGCCCGAGACCGGAAUAUUGUGCUGAUGACCAUGGUGAAGUCCGUUUAUGUAAUCGGGCUUUAUUUUGAGCUAAAUUGAAUUUUUAAUAUUAAUUAUUUAAUUUUAGAAAUUAAUUAUUUAAUUAAUUAUUUUUCAGAAAUUAAGAUGUUGAUGUUCGACGACUGAAAUCUCGUGCUGAUUGUCGUGGCGCAGUCCGUUUAUUUAUUUGAGCUCCACGUUGUAUGGAAUUGAAUAAAUUGUGAUAUUUUAGGGAUUUACCCUAAAUUGAUUGGAAUUGAUUGAGAUUGAAUUGUUCAUUGGUAAAUGAACAAGUAUGUUUAUUCAGCAUUUAUAGUGCUUUGUUGAGUUGUAAAGUGAGUAGAAUGACGAGAGUGAAUCAGAAGUACUCUGGAAUUGAACCGAUCAGACACGGUGUAUGGACCUACGUGGUUCGGUGAUUGGGACAUCACUGGCGAAAACGGCGCCUUAAAGAACGCACGUAUCGGUCUAGUACAUACAUUAUUGUGGACCUACGUGGUUCGGUGAUUGGGAUAUCACUGGCGAAAACGGCGCCUUAAAGAACGCACGUAUCGGUCUAGUACUCAUAUUGUUAUAGGCAUGUAUGGUUCGGUGACUAAGGAUGUCACUGGCGAAAACGGCGCCUUAAAGAACGCAUACACUUGUCUAUUAAAUACAUUGUUAUAGGCAUGUGUGGUUCGGUGAUUAUGGAACUCACUGGCGAAAACGGCGCCUUAAAGAACGCACACAGUUGUCUAUUGAGUACAUGAUUAUAGACAUGCGUGGUUCGGUGAUUAAGGGCAUCACUGGCGAAAACGGCGCCUUAAAGAACGCACGCAAUUGUCUAUCGAUCAAAUCAUUGUAGGCAUGUGUGGUUCGGUGAUUUGGGAUAUCACUGGCGAAAACGGCGCCUUAAAGAACGCACACAGUUGUCUAGUGGAUACGUCACCUUGGCGAAGUUGACGCCCGAGAGCAUUGAUGUGGCUCUGUGACCGAGUACUCGAUGAAAGAAUAUAUGGUGUGGAAUCAAUGACCUAGAACGGUCCGUCUGACAUGUAAUCGACUAGGUCGAUUGAUCCUUGCUUUAAUUUGAUGUUGUGAAUUGAUUGACUGAAUGGAAAUGACCGUGAGUGGUCUUGUUAGCAUAUAAUCGACUAGGUCGAUUUGAUCGAUGCUUCGAUCGGUGAUAUGACUGUUUGGGUGCCUAUUAUGAAUUGUCCUGACUUGCAGGUAGGAUCUGAGGCCAAGGUAAGUCCUCUGCCUUGUGCGUGUUUAGGCAGCCUGUAGUAUAAUAGUUUACUAAUCGGGCUUAGUGGGGUAGAACUCGCUGAGAUGUAGUCUCAUCCCAGUUUGGGGAAACCAUUUCAGGACCCCGCUGAAGAGCUGAGGAGGAGGAAUCCGAGAAGGAGAACUCGGAGGUGAGAUAUGAGGAGAAGGAUUUUUGGAAGAAGAAGAUAGUCCCGAGAGGGGCCUUGAGUACGGCCCAGAUGGCUGAGAAUUCAUCUUCUUUUGAGAUCUCCUUUUUGAUGUGAUUAAAGUUUAGAGUAAAAAGUUGUAGAUUGCUCUGGUUUAUGUUUUGUAUAAAAGUUUGGUUAUAAAUUUCAAUAUGAAAAAUAUGGCCCUGCUUUUCUA